GAUGAACGCUGGCGGCGUGCCUAAUACAUGCAAGUCGAGCGAACGGACGAGAAGCUUGCUUUUCUGAUGUUAGCGGCGGACGGGUGAGUAACACGUGGAUAACCUACCUAUAAGACUGGGAUAACUUCGGGAAACCGGAGCUAAUACCGGAUAAUAUUUUGAACCGCAUGGUUCAAAAGUGAAAGACGGUCUUGCUGUCACUUAUAGAUGGAUCCGCGCUGCAUUAGCUAGUUGGUAAGGUAACGGCUUACCAAGGCAACGAUGCAUAGCCGACCUGAGAGGGUCAUCGGCGACACAGGUACUCAGAAACAGUACAAAAACCUACGGCAGGAGCAAGAAGGGAAUCUUCAGCAAUGAGCCAAAGCCUGCCGGCACAACGCCGCGUAAGAGAUGCAGAACUUCGGAUCGUAAAACUCUGUUAUUAGGGAAGAACAUAUGUGUAAGCAACUGUGCACAUCUUGACGGUACCUACUCAGAAAGCCACGGCUAACUCCGUG
rnacentral:rRNA from 1 species